GAGCUCGACAACCUUUUUUCACCUGAGGGGCCCAUUUUAGAGGCACAAAAGCUAGCUGCUAAAUUGUUUGGAUCACAGGAAACAUGGUUCCUCGUUGGAGGUACGACGUGUGGGAUUCAGGCAGCAAUAAUGGCAACUUGCUCCCCUGGAGAACAUAUAAUUCUUCCUCGCAAUUCCCAUAUAUCGGCCAUAUCCGCAAUGGUAUUAUCUGGAGCGAUACCUAAGUACAUCAUACCAGAGCAUAA
rnacentral:misc_RNA from 1 species